rnacentral:rRNA from 1 species
CCUACGGGUGGCUGCAGUGAGGAAUAUUGGUCAAUGGACGAGAGUCUGAACCAGCCAAGUAGCGUGAAGGAUGACUGACCUAUGGGUUGUAAACUUCUUUUAUAUGGGAAUAAAAUGUUCCACGUGUGGGAUUUUGUAUGUACCAUAUGAAUAAGGAUCGGCUAACGCUGUGCCAGCAGCCGCGGUAAUACGGAGGAUCCGAGCGUUAUCCGGAUUUAUUGGGUUUAAAGGGAGCGUAGGUGGAUUGUUAAGUCAGUUGUGAAAGUUUGCGGCUCAACCGUAAAAUUGCAGUUGAAACUGGCAGUCUUGAGUACAGUAGAGGUGGGCGGAAUUCGUGGUGUAGCGGUGAAAUGCUUAGAUAUCACGAAGAACUCCGAUUGCGAAGGCAGUUCACUGGACUGCAACUGACACUGAGGCUCGAAAGUGUGGGUAUCAAACAGGAUUAGAUACCCGAGUAGUC